rnacentral:RNase_P_RNA from 1 species
UCAGAUGGCCGGGCGGCCGCGGCGUUGCGGUGCAAGCCGCGGCGUCGAGGAAAGUCCGGGCUCCACGGAAACACGGUGCCGGCUAACGGCCGGCGGGGGCGACCCCAGGGAAAGUGCCACAGAAAGCAGACCGCCGAACGGGCCUCGGCCCGUGGCAAGGGUGAAAGGGUGCGGCAAGAGCGCACCGCGGGACCGGUAACGGGACCGGCACGGCAAACCCCACCGGGAGCAAGACCAAAUAGGGAUGGCAAGGGCCGGGCAACCGGCCCGGGCGCGUUUCCGCGUCGCUGUCCGGGUCGGUCGCGCGAGGCGCCCGGUGACGGGCGUCCCAGAGGAAUGGCCGCCACCCGCAUCCGCGGGUACAGAACCCGGCUUACAGGCCAUCUGACGCG